UACAGAGGUGGCAAGCGUUUGUUCGGAAUUACUGGGCGUAAAGGGCGCGUAGGUGGCCUUUUGAGUCAGACGUGAAAUCCCCCGGCUUAACCUGGGAACUGCGUCUGAUACUGGAAGGCUCGAGUUCGGGAGAGGGAUGUGGAAUUCCAGGUGUAGCGGUGAAAUGCGUAGAUAUCGGGAGGAACACCUGUGGCGAAAGCGGCGCACUGGACCACAACUGACGCUGAGGCGCGAAAGCUAGGGGAGCAAACAGG
rnacentral:rRNA from 1 species